AUAUAACAUAUACUUAGAUAUAACACCCCAGUGGUCAUCCCAACAAUUGCCUUUCUUAAUCUGGCUGUGAUUUAUUCUUGACCAUUCUUUUGGGGAGAAAUUCUCUGUCUUGUGAUUUUGGCUAGGUUUCUGUCUUCUGUAUGUUUGGAAUGUUUAUUUUAUUUAUAUUGAGAGAGAGAAAGAGUGAGAAAAGAAAGGGGCAGAGGAAGAGAGAGAGAAUGUGAAGAAGUGGGGAGGCUAAUGUGAGGCUCGAUUGCAUGACUGCAAGAUCAUAACUUGGGGAAAAAUUCAAGAGUCAGACGCUUAAUUGAGACACAGGGGCCUGUUUUGCAUGUUUUGAAACUUUCUUAGGUUUUCUACACCAAAGAACAGUGCUAUAUUAAAAAACUUCAUACAUUGUCCAGGCCUGACACUUUAGGAAGUUUUCCUGAAUGCUGUAUGCUGUGUGUGAUCUGCUAUUGUGUUUUGGCUGCUCCUUCUCACUUGUCAGUCCACUGCAGAGUUCCUCCUUGCUUGUAGUUGGGAGUGUUUGGACUUUAACUAGGUGUUCUUUGAUUUGUUUGAAUAAAAGGGGAAAGAGUAGGAAAAAAAUCCUGAUCCAAAAAUAAAGAGAAAAGGAAAAUGAAUGAAUAAAAAACCAGACAAUCAAAAACCUAUAAGCCUUAUUCCAAAGAAAAGAACAGAAAGAAGCAAGAAAAAGAAAAAACAACAAGGGAGAAAAGGAAAUGAAACAAACAAACAAAAAACUAUGAACCUGAUUAAAAAAUUAAAAAAAGAGGAAGAGGAAAAAGAAGAAGAAGAAAGGAAGAAAGAAAGAAAAGGAAGGAAGAAAGAAAGGAAGGAAGGAAGGAAAAAGAAAGAAGAAAGAAAGAGAAAGAAAGAAAGAACGAAUGAACGACUGGUUCUAUUUCUACCAAAACAUCAAGUGAUGCCUUGAAGGACUCUAUUUUCAGUACACUUGGUGAAUAGGGUGCACUACCUGUGAUGGUCUUCUGGAGAAGAGGCUCAGAGUCAAUCUUGUCCCAGUAAAUAAGCAGUUACCAGGCACAGGGAGGCAGGUUUGGAGUAUGUGGGUCCUGCCUCUACUGGGGGCCAGUGUGUUGCCCUCUGAAGUCCUACCAUGUUGGUGUUGGGGGACAAUGGUGCCACCCUUAUCUCUCGUUCCCAGAUA
ensembl:lncRNA